UACGUAGGGGGCAAGCGUUGUCCGGAAUCAUUGGGCGUAAAGAGCGUGUAGGCGGCUUGGUAAGUCCGCUGUGAAAGUCCAGGGCUCAACCCUGGAAUGCCGGUGGAAACUGUCAAGCUUGAGUCCGGAAGAGGCGAGUGGAAUUCCUGGUGUAGCGGUGAAAUGCGCAGAUAUCAGGAGGAACACCAAUGGCGAAGGCAGCUCGCUGGGGACGGUACUGACGCUGAGACGCGAAAGCGUGGGGAGCAAACAGG
rnacentral:rRNA from 1 species